UACGUAUGGUGCAAGCGUUAUCCGGAUUUACUGGGUGUAAAGGGAGCGUAGGCGGCGCGUUAAGUCUGAUGUGAAAACCCGAGGCUCAACCACGGGAGUGCAUUGGAAACUGGCGGGCUGGAGUGGGCGAGAAGAAGGCGGAAUGCGUGGUGUAGCGGUGAAACGCAUAGAUAUCACGCAGAACCCCGAUUGCGAAGGCAGCCUUCCGGCGCCCUACUGACGCUGAGGCACGAAAGUGCGGGGAUCGAACAGG
rnacentral:rRNA from 1 species